UACGAAGGGGGCUAGCGUUGUUCGGAAUUACUGGGCGUAAAGGGCGCGUAGGCGGUUUGCCAAGUCAGAUGUGAAAGCCCCGGGCUCAACCUGGGAACCGCAUUUGAGACUGGCCGACUCGAGUUCGGGAGAGGAUAGUGGAAUUCCCAGUGUAGAGGUGAAAUUCGUAGAUAUUGGGAAGAACACCGAUGGCGAAGGCAGCUAUCUGGACCGACACUGACGCUGAGGCGCGAAAGCGUGGGGAGCAAACAGG
rnacentral:rRNA from 1 species